rnacentral:rRNA from 1 species
UACGUAGGGUGCAAGCGUUGUCCGGAAUUAUUGGGCGUAAAGAGCUCGUAGGCGGUUUGUCACGUCUGCUGUGAAAUUUCGAGGCUCAACCUCGAACUUGCAGUGGGUACGGGCAGACUAGAGUGCGGUAGGGGAGAUGGGAAUUCCUGGUGUAGCGGUGGAAUGCGCAGAUAUCAGGAGGAACACCAAUGGCGAAGGCACAUCUCUGGGCCGUAACUGACGCUGAGGAGCGAAAGCGUGGGGAGCAAACAGG